rnacentral:tmRNA from 1 species
GGGGUCGUUACGGAUUCGACAGGCAUUAUGAGGCAUAUUUUGCGACUCAUCGGCAGAUGUAAAAAUGCCAGUUAAAUAUAACUGCAAAAAAUAACACUUCUUACGCUCUAGCUGCCUAAAAACCAGCAGGCGUGACCCGAUUUGGAUUGCUCGUGUUCAAUGACAGGUCUUAUUAUUAGCGAGAUACGAUCAAGUCUUGUCUAGCGGCUUGAUAAGAGAUUGAUAGACUCGCAGUUUCUAGGCUUGAGUUAUGUGUCGAGGGACUGUUAAACGAAUACAUAACCUAUGGUUGUAGACAAAUAUGUUGGCAGGUGUUUGGACGUGGGUUCGACUCCCACCGGCUCCAUUG